ACGUAAUAUCUAAAGGAAAAGGUACAAGACAUUUUUUCCAAAAAAAGUAUAUGAACUUUAGAGAAUAGCUCCAAUUUACCAGUGUCUCUUAGGAAUGACACAAAAUCCGAGGAAAACCAAGUACGACAGUUGCAAACCAAUCAGUAACUGCGUCGAUGGAGAGAUCUCCGUCAUACCAUUCCUAAAGAAGAAAUGUCCUGUUGGCAUUCUCUCAGCAAGGGAUGCUGCAAGUUGAACAUCGCCUAGUUCCACCAUACCAGC
rnacentral:misc_RNA from 1 species